rnacentral:siRNA from 1 species
UGAGGCACAGGGUCCACCCAA